AGCGGCUUGGCGCAGAGGAAGCGCGCCAGGCUCAUAACCUGGAGGUCCCUGGAUCGAAACUAGGAGUCGCUA